rnacentral:rRNA from 1 species
CCUACGGGUGGCAGCAGUAGGGAAUCUUCGGCAAUGGACGAAAGUCUGACCGAGCAACGCCGCGUGAGUGAAGAAGGUUUUCGGAUCGUAAAGCUCUGUUGUAAGAGAAGAACGAGUGUGAGAGUGGAAAGUUCACACUGUGACGGUAUCUUACCAGAAAGGGACGGCUAACUACGUGCCAGCAGCCGCGGUAAUACGUAGGUCCCGAGCGUUGUCCGGAUUUAUUGGGCGUAAAGCGAGCGCAGGCGGUUUGAUAAGUCUGAAGUUAAAGGCAUUGGCUCAACCAAUGUAUGCUUUGGAAACUGUUAGACUUGAGUGCAGAAGGGGAGAGUGGAAUUCCAUGUGUAGCGGUGAAAUGCGUAGAUAUAUGGAGGAACACCGGUGGCGAAAGCGGCUCUCUGGCUUGUAACUGACGCUGAGGCUCGAAAGCGUGGGGAGCAAACAGGAUUAGAUACCCGGGUAGUC